rnacentral:piRNA from 1 species
UAAUCUCAGCAUUUGGAAGAUCAGGAGU